GAUGAACGCUGGCGGCGUGCCUAACACAUGCAAGUCGAACGAAAAGACCAGGAGCUUGCGCCCUUGACGUUAGCGGCGGACGGGUGAGUGAGACGUACAUAACCUUCACAUUAGACUGGGAUAACUACGUGAAACCGGAUCCACUACCGGAUCAUAUGUUGAACGGCAUGGGUCAGUAGUGAUAGACGGUUUUGGUGUUACUCAUAGCUGAUUCCGUGUCGCAUUGGCUAGUUGGUAAGGUAACGGCUUACCAAGGCGACGAGCCGUAGCCGAACUGAGAGGGUGAUCGGCCACACUGGAACGGAGACACGGUCCAGACUCCUACGGGAGGCAGCAGUAGGGAAUGUUAGGCAAUGGGCGAAAGCCUGACCCAGCAACGCCGCGUGAGUGAAGAAGGCCUUCGGAUCGUAAAGCCCUGUUAUUGGGGAAGAACAGAUGUAUAAGUAAACGAGGACGUCUUGACGGUACCUAAUAAAAAAGCAACGGCUAACUACGUG
rnacentral:rRNA from 1 species